CAUGUAUUCAUUCCUUAUGCUACUUUCUACUGAUUUCAUGUAUGCACAGUUAUGAGUGUAACAGUUAGUAGGGUGUAGAAGUGUUUGGCUUAAAGCCUAUAAAAAAGGUUAACUGCAGGUUGAGCUUUCUGAGCCUGAUGAGGAAAUACGACGACGAGAUUGAAAAGCAGGCUAAUUACACAAGAAAGGUUUACCUAGUUUGCCUUAAAGGCUAACGCCUGAGUUAACGGGAGAAAGAAAUAGGAGUUGAACCCCACAAUGCUACUACCUUGCUGCACCUACCUUCCCACAAUACUACAACCUUACUGCACCUACUUGCAGCUACCCAAGCAUUGGACCAACUGUCACGAUUAUGCAUAAAAGUUCACCACUGUAGAAAUGUAGUCGCCACUAUUCUCCCCAUUACGAUAGUCAUCCCACUAUUUUCCCUAAUAAGAAGCGGAAACGCAUUUGCUCAACACCAUAGUGAAGGGAGAAAAUGGAUCUUUGCUUGUGCAAUUGUUUUCUUCUAACAACUACAUUGGAGUGUUCUUUAUUUAUCUUUAUUUUUACGGCUAACUGAGAGCUUUAUUCAGUAAGAAAAUGUCAAGUGAAUCUCCAAAAACUCAUAACUAAAUCAAAACAGGCCAACCAAAUUCUAGAAGGGAACUAAAGGCUACCGAGGAGCAAAAAUACAAUGUGGAAUCAGCCAGUUUUUACAAUUAAAAGAAGGCAGAUCAGAGGCCUCAACACUCCAGCUCUGACAAGCCUCAAUAACAGACUUCAAACUUAAUCUGAUCAAUAAUAGAAAAAGGGGAUCUCUUAAGUCCUAUGGACAUACAGUUAAUCCCCUCUUGGCCAAGAACAUGAACCAUUGCAGCCAAUAGUACUUUCCUGAGUAUAUAAUAGAAAAAGGGGAUCUCUAAAGGUCUUUGAGUAUAUGGCUAAACCCCCCUUGGCAAAGAAAAUAAACCCAUAGCAGCCAAUGUAACUUUCGUGAGUAUAUUGGGAAAGCUUUUCCCACAGACCUUAGAUCAGAACCGUAAGCUUUUUUAGUCCAUGGAUAGGGCUGGUAGGAGUAUUGCAAAGGCGAGAAAUAUAUUCACAAACAUUAUUAGAGAGCACCCAAAGGAUGAGGUGGUCCAAAAUUUUAUCAAUCGUUGCAUAGAGGACAAAAAGAAAUA